rnacentral:rRNA from 1 species
AUACCCCUUGGGGUAGCAUUUAUUAGAUUGAAACCAAUGUAAACGUUGAGUCAUAAUAAUUGUGCGGAUCGCGUUGAAUGACGCGAUGAAUCGACUGGGUUUCUGCCCUAUCAGUUUUGGAUGGCUGUGUAUUGGACAGCCAUGACAUUGACGGGUAACGGAGGAUCAGGGUUCGACACCGGCGAGGGCGCCUGAGAUAUGGCGACCACAUCCAAGGAAGGCAGCAGGCGCGUAAAUUACCCAAUGCUAAUUCAGCGAGGUAGUGACAAGAAAUAACGAUUUUCGGUCUUCAAGAUCGGAAAAUUGGAAUGAGAACAAUUUAAAUCCCUUAUCGAGGAUCAAUUGGAGGGCAAGUCUGGUGCCAGCAGCCGCGGUAAUUCCAGCUCCAAUAGCGUAUAUUAAAGUUGUUGCAGUUAAAAAGCUCGUAGUUGGAUUUGCGUUGGUGAGUGGGUUGUGGUCGCAAGACGAGGACUCGUUUCAGCAACAUUUUUUGGGACCAGGGGUUCCUUGGCAUUGAGUUGUUGAGGUUCAACUACCCAUCGUUUACUGUGAAAAAAUUAGAGUGUUUCAAGCAGG